rnacentral:lncRNA from 1 species
CCUCAUUUUUUUCCAAUACUUUCUAUUUCAGUCGAGCCCUCCGCUCUUGCUCGUUUUCACUGAUUCGAUUAUGUCCCGUUCGAUAUCUCUCGCGUAGCCUCCCCCUUCCCCUUUCCGUUAUUCCACCUUUGUGCACACACGAGCGUGUCCGCAUAUUUCCUUGUGUACCCGCGCACCACCUAUGGGGAUACACGUGAGCGAAUUUCGUCGGGGAUUGAGAGGGUUGAAAUCGCAAUGGUUUAUUCCAGAGCUUAAUCCUGAUGGGCUUCUCCCAAGCGCUAUCCUCGAGCAUUGCGCAAAACUCGUCACUUUUGUAAAAGCCUGAAAAAAGAGGAGACGCUCGUAAAGUCACUCAGUCAUAUCGGAUCCGAUUCUGCAUUUGUCUCUGUCCAAGAGCCUUUGCGCAGCAUUUUUUCUCGUUUUCUUUGUUUUACGGUUUUUUAAGCUCGUCGUCGCUCUCUCUCUCUUUCUGGCGCAGCGUUCACGGCCCUUUUGCCAAUUUCAUUCCGUCCUAAUGGACUUCAUUAUCCCUCACGGUGAGCUGCGUCUCGCUCUUCAUUUUCAUGCGAAAGAGAAUCCUCCGCUGGACGGAAAGCGUUUCUUAUUUUUGAGAAUUGAAAAUCCAAUGGAGUGGGAGAGUCGCCGAACAUUCUCGAACCGCUUUCGUCUCUGGUCCAACCGAUGCGCCUCGCGACAAGAUUGCUGAAUCGUAGCACCGAGAGCGAAUAGCGAGCUCCGCGGAGUUGGCAACGCAGCCGGGUCCCCAGGAUUCAAAAUGAAAAUUCGUUACGUGCUGCACAAUCAGCUGAAUUUCACACAUGAAUUACUAAUGGCGCUCCGAAUGAAAAGCAGAACGGCUUCGGAGCGGCUCGGCGGGAACAGCCAGCGGAGCGUAUCUCGUUCCAUCGAAUUAAAGUCCAAGCUCGAGUUCGUCAUCAUCGGGUUCUCCUCGAUGGACUCGUGAAAUCAUUGGUUUUCUCGUUUUAACGAGUUCUGCGGGGCGAGUGUCUCGAGAGGUACGGAAUCCCUCGUGUGACAGGAGCCGGGAAAAUAAACUGUCCGUUUUCCGGUGCUCCGGAAUUUGGAGAACAGUUGAGAGAAUCUGAGAAAAGGAAAAAAGGAGCGUCUCGCACGAGAUAAAAAGGAGAGUGCGCGCCAUUCUGAUUUACUUUCGUCGAGGACUGCGUAUACAGAAAAGCGGAGUUUCUCUCGUCGCCAAAGUUCUCUGCGCCCGGGUAUCUUAUCACGAGCAGCACUUAUCGCGCAAAGUCUCUUUUGUAGACCGCGAGAGAAACGGGAACGUUCUCGCCGCUCUCGGCUGCUCGCACACGAGGUCCCUACCCGCUGCGUACACGGGAUUUCCGGCAACUUUUUCUCCUCCAAAUGCGGCUAGAACUAUGGGGAGCGCGAUAGUAGAAAAAAGAUAUGCUCAAAAACGUACGACGCAGUACGCCGCGUUUCAGGUUAUUAUUUAUUACCGACCGUGAUAAAGGUUUAAGUGCUUUCGAACUAAAUUUCAAUUCGGAAUGUGCACCGCAGUGUCGUCCGAGUUUCGAACAUCCACUCGCGUCUCAUGUACUUUCCUUUAUCAAGAAACCAGCGGGCACGUUCAUCUAGAAACGAAAAUUCCAUCAUUCGAUGAA